rfam:Ixodes scapularis strain Wikel colony gcontig_1108379690300, whole genome shotgun sequence.
GCAUGGUUAGCUUAAUUGGUAGAGCGCUCCACCUGUAAUGGAGAGGUCCCGGGUUUGAUACCCGGACCAGGCG